rnacentral:rRNA from 1 species
UACGUAGGGUGCAAGCGUUGUCCGGAAUUAUUGGGCGUAAAGAGCUCGUAGGCGGUCUGUCGCGUCGGCUAUGAAAACUCGGGGCUCAACCCCGAGCCUGCAGUCGAUACGGGCAGACUAGAGUGCUGUAGGGGAGACUGGAAUUCCUGGUGUAGCGGUGGAAUGCGCAGAUAUCAGGAGGAACACCGAUGGCGAAGGCAGAUCUCUGGGCCGUAACUGACGCUGAGGAGCGAAAGCGUGGGGAGCGAACAGG